UACGUAGGGGGCUAGCGUUGUCCGGAAUCAUUGGGCGUAAAGCGCGUGUAGGCGGUCCGGUAAGUCCGCUGUGAAAGUCGGGGGCUCAACCCUCGGAUGCCGGUGGAUACUGUCGGGCUUGAGUACGGAAGAGGCGAGUGGAAUUCCUGGUGUAGCGGUGAAAUGCGCAGAUAUCAAGGAGGAACACCAAUUGCGAAGGCAGCUCGCUGGGACGUUACUGACGCUGAGAUGCGAAAGUGUGGGGAGCAAACGGG
rnacentral:rRNA from 1 species